CAACAAUAGAUGAAGCAAAUCUUUUAUAGCUCGCAAAUCAUGGUGCACACAAUCUAGAAAUGAAUAUUAUCAAGCAUUUACAACAAGGCAAAUAACUAUAGAAUAUCAUUUUAUUCAAUCAAGACAUAAAAUACACAUUCAUCCAUAUUUGAUAUUUAAAAUAACAUUUAUUACUUUAUUAAAUAACUAAAAACAUCUUUAGAAAAACCUAAUUAGGGUGACAAGCCACUUACCUCAAGUCGAAACAUUGGUGAAUCAUGUGAUUUUCUGAUCACCUUAAAUCAAAUUCUGCAAUAUUUAGUCAUGAUUUGUUUUUCUGCAACACCACUUUUCUUGUCAUUUGGGAGCUGCACAGCUUUUCAUCUAAAGAGUUGUAGAUAUCACCUCACACUAUAGGCCACAAUAUCUUAACAUAGUGUAACUUAAAGCUUGUUGGAAUAUCUUGGAAUUGUCCGCUAAUAGAGAGGCAGUGCCUCCAAUGCCUCACGUUCACCACUCUUUUCUUUUCUUUUCUUUUGUUCCAUCUUUUCUCUGCAAGAGUCAGCAUAUCAUUAGCAUUACUUCCAAAAGGUGUUUGUAAUGAUCCUUAACAGGUACCCAUGCUUAGCCUGCUCAAAGUAAGCUGUCACACCAUCCAUUCCAUAUGUGAUUCCUUCAAGAAUAUCACAUACUUUCAUCUUUUCCAAAUAGUAUCUGUAAUUCCUCAGUGAGUGUUGGGGAUAAUUUGACAUAUUUUGUCCAUCUCUUAUAUAAGUUGUAUCAGGAGCUUCAUGUUGUUCUUGUGUUAUUUGGCUAUUAUUUAGCCGAACAUUAAUUUGUUUGAAAUUUAGAUCUGAGGAGAUUCCAUAUACUUUUCAGGUGGUAUAAUAUCGGACGUGUAUUACUUGAUUUGAUCAUAAGAUGACCAACUCAGAUUUAACCCUCUAAACAUGUUGGGUCUUAGUCUAAAAUCAUUGCUAAAAUGUAAGCUUGGAUGGUCUUUGAUCAUAAAUGAAUUGUUCCAGAUCCUGUAGUAUUUUUGUUCCAGAAAAGGUAGUACUAUAUUGUGGUCCCAAUUUUUUUGAUAACUGUAAGAUUAGUCAUGGCUUUUAUGUAACGAGCUUUUGUGGUAGGAAUCAAGAACCUUUGAAUUUAAGUAUUUAUGUUCUCAGAAGAUUCUAUACCACUAGAUCCUCUACGUUCUCAGAAGAUUCUAUACUAUAUUGUGGUCCCAAUAUUUUGGAUGAUAACUGUAAGAUUAGUCAUGGCUUUUAUGUAACAAGCUUUUGUGGUAGGAAUCAAGAACCUUUGAAAUUAAGUAUUUAUGUUCGCAGAAAUUCUAUUCCACUAGAUCCUCUAUAAAAUUUUCUUUUGUUUUGUUUGCAGAUGUUAGUAUUUGGUGCAAGAAGAUUAAGAUGUCAUCUCAAAGUUUGCCAACUAUAUAACCAGUGGUUUAGCUUUUUCUCUUUGCUUCAUCUAGACCUAUUCAGAUCACCUUCUCUUUCAUGCAACCUUAUGAAACAAUAUUACUGUAUCAGUGCAUCAAAAAUAUUCCUAAUGAGUUUAGGUUAAUAUAAGCUGUUUGAUCUUGACUAGCGGAAAUUAGAUUAGCCAUGUAAAUGUCAAAUGACUAUUUGAAUAAUAUCAGCUCCAUGAAUCAUAUGGUAUGAGAGUAUCAUUAUGCUUAUUGCAUCAUUGUCUCCUUUUCUGUUGAACUCAUUGAAUUUUAUCGUUGUCAAGUGUUUCAGUGGGAACCUUUUGCAAUUAUUAGCUUUUUACCAAUUGUUAACCUUCUGUAGAAGCAUAUGACAUUGAAUGUAGAAGUAGAAUGUGUUGGAGAUUUAUCCAAUUUCUGGUAAAUGUACAAUAUUUUUGCAAGAGCCACUAUCCUAAUCAAGUACAAUAUGUACAUCAUUAGAGCCUUGACAUGCUACAUCCUUACAAUUAAUAAAUUGGACUGUAAAUUAGUUGUGAAUUAACUAAUAGUACGAACCGCUGCUAGUCCUGCAUCUCUCCUUCAAUAUCAUGUCGCUAACUGUUUGAACAUUAUAAUUUCCUUAGCAAUUGACAG
rnacentral:lncRNA from 1 species